rnacentral:rRNA from 1 species
ACUCCUACGGGAGGCAUCAGUGGGAAUAUUGCACAAUGGGGAAGCCAUCGAUGCAGCCAUGCCGCGCUGUGUGAAGAAGGCCAAUUCGGGCUUGGUUAAGACACUUUUCAGUCGUGAGGAAGGUAGUGUAGUUAAUAGCUGCAUUAUUUGACGUUAGCGACAGAAGAAGCACCGGCUAACUCCGUGCCAGCAGCCGCGGUAAUACGGAGGGUGCGAGCGUUAAUCGGAAUUACUGGGCGUAAAGCGCAUGCAGGUGGUUUGUUAAGUCAGAUGUGAAAGCCCGGGGCUCAAGCCUCGGAAUUGCAUUUGAAACUGGCAGACUAGAGUACUGUAGAGGGGGU